rnacentral:rRNA from 1 species
AGGACGAACGCUGGCGGCGUGCUUAACACAUGCAAGUCGAACGGUGAUCUUGGAGCUUGCUUCAGGUGAGCAGUGGCGAACGGGUGAGUAACACGCGAGUAACCUGCCCCAGACUCUGGAAUAAGCGCUGGAAACGGCGUCUAAUACCGGAUAUGACACUAAACCGCAUGGUUAUGGUGUGGAAAGUUUUUCGGUCUGGGAUGGACUCGCGGCCUAUCAGCUUGUUGGUGAGGUAAUGGCUCACCAAGGCGAUGACGGGUAGCCGGCCUGAGAGGGCGAGUCGGCCACGACUGGGACUGAGACACGGCCCAGACUCCUACGGGAGCAGCAGUGGGAAUAGUUGCACAAGUGGGACGAAAGCCUGAUGCAGCGACGCCGCGUGAGGAUGGACGCCGUUCGGUUACGUAACCUCGUUCAGUACGAGGAAGAAGCGAAAGUGACGGUACCUGACGAAGAA